GAUUAAGUUAUUAAGGGCGCACGGUGGAUGCCUUGGCACUAGAAGCCGAAGAAGGACGUUACUAACGACGAUAUGCUUUGGGGAGCUGUAAGUAAGCGUUGAUCCAGAGAUUUCCGAAUGGGGAAACCCAACAUGAGUUAUGUCAUGUUAUCGAUAUGUGAAUACAUAGCAUAUCAGAAGGCAGACCCGGAGAACUGAAACAUCUUAGUACCCGGAGGAAGAGAAAGAAAAAUCGAUUCCCUGAGUAGCGGCGAGCGAAACGGGAAGAGCCCAAACCAACAAGCUUGCUUGUUGGGGUUGUAGGACACUCUAUACGGAGUUACAAAAGUAUAUAUUAGACGAAUCAUCUGGAAAGUUGAAUCAAAGAAGGUAAUAAUCCUGUAGUCGAAAAUAUAUACUCUCUUGAGUGGAUCCUGAGUACGACGGAGCACGUGAAAUUCCGUCGGAAUCUGGGAGGACCAUCUCCUAAGGCUAAAUACUCUCUAGUGACCGAUAGUGAACCAGUACCGUGAGGGAAAGGUGAAAAGUACCCCGGAAGGGGAGUGAAAGAGAACUUGAAACCGUGUGCUUACAAGUAGUCAGAGCCCGUUAAUGGGUGAUGGCGUGCCUUUUGUAGAAUGAACCGGCGAGUUACGAUUUGAUGCAAGGUUAAGCAGUGAAUGUGGAGCCGUAGCGAAAGCGAGUCUGAAUAGGGCGUUGAGUAUUUGGUCGUAGACCCGAAACCAGGUGAUCUACCCUUGGUCAGGUUGAAGUUCAGGUAACACUGAAUGGAGGACCGAACCGACUUACGUUGAAAAGUGAGCGGAUGAACUGAGGGUAGCGGAGAAAUUCCAAUCGAACCUGGAGAUAGCUGGUUCUCUCCGAAAUAGCUUUAGGGCUAGCCUCAAGUGAUGAUUAUUGGAGGUAGAGCACUGUUUGGACGAGGGGCCCUUCUCGGGUUACCGAAUUCAGACAAACUCCGAAUGCCAAUCAAUUUAACUUGGGAGUCAGAACAUGGGUGAUAAGGUCCGUGUUCGAAAGGGAAACAGCCCAGACCACCAGCUAAGGUCCCAAAAUAUAUGUUAAGUGGAAAAGGAUGUGGCGUUGCCCAGACAACUAGGAUGUUGGCUUAGAAGCAGCCAUCAUUUAAAGAGUGCGUAAUAGCUCACUAGUCGAGUGACACUGCGCCGAAAAUGUACCGGGGCUAAACAUAUUACCGAAGCUGUGGAUUGUCCGUAGGACAAUGGUAGGAGAGCGUUCUAAGGGCGUUGAAGCAUGAUCGCAAGGACAUGUGGAGCGCUUAGAAGUGAGAAUGCCGGUGUGAGUAGCGAAAGACGGGUGAGAAUCCCGUCCACCGAUUGACUAAGGUUUCCAGAGGAAGGCUCGUCCGCUCUGGGUUAGUCGGGGCCUAAGCUGAGGCCGACAGGCGUAGGCGAUGGAUAACAGGUUGAUAUUCCUGUACCACCUAGUAUCGUUUUAAUCGAUGGGGGGACGCAGUAGGAUAGGCGAAGCGUGCUAUUGGAUUGCACGUCCAAGCAGUAAGACUGAGUGUUAGGCAAAUCCGGCACUCAUAAGGUCAAGCUGUGAUGGGGAGAGGAAAUUGUUUCCUCGAGUCGUUGAUUUCACACUGCCAAGAAAAGCCUCUAGAUAGAUAACAGGUGCCCGUACCGCAAACCGACACAGGUAGUCAAGAUGAGAAUUCUAAGGUGAGCGAGCGAACUCUCGUUAAGGAACUCGGCAAAAUGACCCCGUAACUUCGGGAGAAGGGGUGCUCUUUAGGGUUAACGCCCAGAAGAGCCGCAGUGAAUAGGCCCAAGCGACUGUUUAUCAAAAACACAGGUCUCUGCUAAACCGUAAGGUGAUGUAUAGGGGCUGACGCCUGCCCGGUGCUGGAAGGUUAAGAGGAGUAGUUAGCUUCUGCGAAGCUACGAAUCGAAGCCCCAGUAAACGGCGGCCGUAACUAUAACGGUCCUAAGGUAGCGAAAUUCCUUGUCGGGUAAGUUCCGACCCGCACGAAAGGCGUAACGAUUUGGGCACUGUCUCAACGAGAGACUCGGUGAAAUCAUAGUACCUGUGAAGAUGCAGGUUACCCGCGACAGGACGGAAAGACCCCGUGGAGCUUUACUGUAGCCUGAUAUUGAAAUUCGGCACAGCUUGUACAGGAUAGGUAGGAGCCUUUGAAACGUGAGCGCUAGCUUACGUGGAGGCAUUGGUGGGAUACUACCCUAGCUGUGUUGGCUUUCUAACCCGCACCACUUAUCGUGGUGGGAGACAGUGUCAGGUGGGCAGUUUGACUGGGGCGGUCGCCUCCUAAAAGGUAACGGAGGCGCUCAAAGGUUCCCUCAGAAUGGUUGGAAAUCAUUCAUAGAGUGUAAAGGCAUAAGGGAGCUUGACUGCGAGACUUACAAGUCGAGCAGGGUCGAAAGACGGACUUAGUGAUCCGGUGGUUCCGCAUGGAAGGGCCAUCGCUCAACGGAUAAAAGCUACCCCGGGGAUAACAGGCUUAUCUCCCCCAAGAGUUCACAUCGACGGGGAGGUUUGGCACCUCGAUGUCGGCUCAUCGCAUCCUGGGGCUGUAGUCGGUCCCAAGGGUUGGGCUGUUCGCCCAUUAAAGCGGUACGCGAGCUGGGUUCAGAACGUCGUGAGACAGUUCGGUCCCUAUCCGUCGUGGGCGUAGGAAAUUUGAGAGGAGCUGUCCUUAGUACGAGAGGACCGGGAUGGACAUACCUCUGGUGUACCAGUUGUCGUGCCAACGGCAUAGCUGGGUAGCUAUGUAUGGACGGGAUAAGUGCUGAAAGCAUCUAAGCAUGAAGCCCCCCUCAAGAUGAGAUUUCCCAACUUCGGUUAUAAGAUCCCUCAAAGAUGAUGAGGUUAAUAGGUUCGAGGUGGAAGCGUGGUGACACGUGGAGCUGACGAAUACUAAUCGAUCGAAGACUUAAUCAA
rnacentral:rRNA from 1 species